UGGGGAAUAUUGGACAAUGGGCGGAAGCCUGAUCCAGCCAUGCCGCGUGUGUGAAGAAGGCCUUUUGGUUGUAAAGCACUUUAAGCGAGGAGGAGGCUACUUGGAUUAAUACUCUAGGAUAGUGGACGUUACUCGCAGAAUAAGCACCGGCUAACUCUGUGCCAGCAGCCGCGGUAAUACAGAGGGUGCGAGCGUUAAUCGGAUUUACUGGGCGUAAAGCGUGCGUAGGCGGCUUCUUAAGUCGGAUGUGAAAUCCCUGAGCUUAACUUAGGAAUUGCAUUCGAUACUGGGAAGCUGGAGUAUGGGAGAGGAUGGUAGAAUUCCAGGUGUAGCGGUGAAAUGCGUAGAGAUCUGGAGGAAUACCGAUGGCGAAGGCAGCCAUCUGGCCUAAUACUGACGCUGAGGUACGAAAGCAUGGGGAGCAAACAGG
rnacentral:rRNA from 1 species